GAAUAUUUAAAAAAACUGGAAUUUAAUAAACUAUUAGGUUACACAUUACUUAAUUAAUAAAAUAUGUAUAUUUAUUUUAAUUAUAAAAUAUACUAAUAACUAAGAUGGUUUGAAUUCUAGCAAGUAUUAUUAUAUUAGUGCACAAAUAUUAAAAAAUAUAAGAAAUAUUUAUUACUUUUUAAUUUAUAAUAUUUA
rnacentral:tRNA from 1 species